GUGCGCAAUGAACAAGCACCAAACAUGUUAAUCACGUGUUACAAUUCAGAAUUAAAUGAAAACAAAUCAAACACGAAGAAACUCCCUUCUUCAAGUUCAGUUUCUCCUAUGCCGCGCCAGAUGUCGCCUCCGGCGGCGGCGGAGCCUCAAUGUCCAAAAUUAACAGAUAAACUUCUUCAAUUCUUUCCCCUAAACCGAAUAUCAAAGUAGAACAAACCAAUUCUCCAUGAAUAACCUGAAUUGAAGCAUAGAGUUGAAGAACCCUAGAUCCUGAUAUGCAAAAUUAAAUCUCUCUCCCUCGGAAUUAAAGCCCUAGAGGUUAGGGAUUUGAUUCCCCUAACCUCCCUCUAUAUUCCGGUAAUUCACACAUAACGAAAUAAUGAAGAUGACGAAAAACUCACCGGAGCAGCGCCAGAAUCAGGACCGUGGCAUGUUGUGUUGAUGCAAUGGCUUGUUGCUCAUGCUGUUGUGGAAUGGUUAUUAUAGGGUUUAUGUAUGGUAGGUUUGGUUGGAUCCAUGGUUUGCUGUAGAUUUAUUGUUACAUGGUUGCAGGUUAAUUGAUGUCGGAUGGUACAUGGCCAUGUUGUUGAAAUAUUGAUGCAAAAUUCUAGGUAUAGUAUUUACUGCAAGAUAGUAUGGGAUGCUCAUGUUGUUGUGUGACUGUUGUAGGCCGAUAUGAGGUGAUGGACAGUAAAAAGGUGGUCAUGAAGAACAAGAACAUUAGGGGUUUAGGGAUGGUAGAAUGAUAAGUUGGCUUUGUCAAUUGGUUGACCAAAAAGUCAAUAGUUGACAAAAAGUCCACUUAUGCAAAAAUGAUGCAAUUCUUUGUAAUUUUCUUUCAAUGAAAUGUAUAUUGGACAAUGUACUCGAUGAAUCUUGUAAAUGCAAUGUAUUUCCUAAUUAAAAUGAA